CGGCGACGGCGGCGCGCUCGCUUAGGACUUUGUAGCUCUGCUGACGGCUUGCCAGUCUCGGUCUGGGGGUUCUGUGGCUGCCGAGACGGGGGAAUAGAAAAGCCACCUUAAAGGAAGGAACCGGGACACGCACGCCGGACUCCGUAUAUAGUUGCUUGUUCAAAAGGACCGUGCAACAUUCAAGUCUUCAACUCUACAUACAUUGAUUUCCAGAUGAAUAUCUGAAAAGCUCAAGAGGAUUUUCAAUCAACACAACAUGUACACCUUAAAACCAAGAAUACACUGAGGCAGAAACUUGUACACCCCCAGAAUAAAACACCCAGACACAAACUGAUCGAUGUAAUAUAUGCAGUACAAUGCAGUAAGACACGUGCAGAUCUGUACAUGGGAGAAACAAAACAACCACUUCACAAACACAUGGCACAACAUAGGAGAAUAAACCCAUCUGGACAAGAUUUAGCAGUUUAUCUGCAUUUGGGAGAUAAAGGCCACUCUUUUGAAGACAGCAAAGUCCACAUUGUGGAGAGAGAGGACUGCUUGUUUGAAAGGGGUCAAAGAGGCCAUCUACAUUAAAAAUGAAGAGCCCUCUCUCAACAGAGGGAGGAAGAAGACGAUACCACCUAUCUUCUGUUUACAACAUUAAGGUGACCAACUUUUUUACAACAAAAAGGAGGACACGAAUAAAUUGAA